GAUGAACGCUGGCGGCGUGCCUAAUACAUGCAAGUCGAGCGAACAGACGAGGAGCUUGCUCCUCUGACGUUAGCGGCGGACGGGUGAGUAACACGUGGAUAACCUACCUAUAAGACUGGGAUAACUUCGGGAAACCGGAGCUAAUACCGGAUAAUAUAUUGAACCGCAUGGUUCAAUAGUGAAAGACGGUUUUGCUGUCACUUAUAGAUGGAUCCGCGCCGCAUUAGCUAGUUGGUAAGGUAACGGCUUACCAAGGCGACGAUGCGUAGCCGACCUGAGAGGGUGAUCGGCCACACUGGAACUGAGACACGGUCCAGACUCCUACGGGAGGCAGCAGUAGGGAAUCUUCCGCAAUGGGCGAAAGCCUGACGGAGCAACGCCGCGUGAGUGAUGAAGGUCUUCGGAUCGUAAAGCUCUGUUAUUAGGGAAGAACAGAUGUGUAAGUAACUAUGCACGUCUUGACGGUACCUAAUCAGAAAGCCACGGCUAACUACGUG
rnacentral:rRNA from 1 species